rnacentral:pre_miRNA from 1 species
CAAUAUUCUCCAUUGUGUCCUGAUUUGGUCUUCAUGAUUACCCUUACAAAAACACUGACUUUGGUUCUCAAUACAGUAAGUGCUUUUUGUUGGGGUAGUUUUGCUGAUCUCUGCAACA